ensembl:miRNA microRNA 219b
AAUCUCUGCUACAGAUGUCCAGACACAAUUCUUGGUUCGUACGGCUCCAGCGCACAAGAAUUGCGUUUGGACAAUCAGGAGCAGAGAUU